rnacentral:rRNA from 1 species
UACGGGGGGGGGUAAGCGUUGUUCGGAAUUACUGGGCGUAAAGGGCUCGUAGGCGGCCAACUAAGUCGGACGUGAAAUCCCUCAGCUUAACCUGGGGAACUGCGUCCGAUACUGGAUGGCUUGGAUUUGGGAGAGGGAUGCGGAAUUCCAGGUGUAGCGGUGAAAUGCGUAGAUAUCUGGAGGAACACCGGUGGCGAAGGCGGCAUCCUGGACCAAUAUUGACGCUGAGGAGCGAAAGCUAGGGGAGCAAACGGG